UACGUAGGGACCAAGCGUUGUUCGGAUUUACUGGGCGUAAAGGGCGCGUAGGCGGCAAUUCAAGUCAUCUGUGAAAUCUCCGGGCUUAACUCGGAACGGUCAGAUGAUACUGCUUUGCUAGAGUGCGGAAGGGGCAAUCGGAAUUCUUGGUGUAGCGGUGAAAUGCGUAGAUAUCAAGAGGAACACCUGAGGUGAAGACGGGUUGCUGGGCCGAAAAUGACGCUGAUAGCGCGAAAGCCAGGGGAGCAAACGGG
rnacentral:rRNA from 1 species